AACGCGAAGAACCUUACCUGGGCUCGAAAUGUUAUGGACCGGGGUAGAAAUAUCCCUUCCCCGCAAGGGGCCGUAAUAUAGGUGCUGCAUGGCUGUCGUCAGCUCGUGUCGUGAGAUGUUGGGUUAAGUCCCGCAACGAGCGCAACCCUUAUCUUCAGUUGCUACCAUUUAGUUGAGCACUCUGACGAAACCGCCUCGGAUAACGGGGAGGAAGGUGGGGAUGACGUCAAGUCCUCAUGGCCUUUAUGUCCAGGGCUACACACGUGCUACAAUGGCCGGUACAAACCGUCGCAAACCCGUGAGGGGGAGCUAAUCGGAAAAAGCCGUCCUCAGUUCGGAUUGCAGUCUGCAACUCGACUGCAUGAAGCUGGAAUCGCUAGUAAUCGCGGAUCAGAACGCCGCGGUGAAUACGUUCCCGGGCCUUGUA
rnacentral:rRNA from 1 species